UUGUCAGUCCAAAGAAAGUUUGACCAGAAAGACAAACUACAAUGGUAGAAAUAUGAAGAUAAGAAACUUUUGAAAAAUGAUGAGUGGAGCUUGCACGAUUUGCUGAUUAGCAAUUCCCUGUAACCAGGAGCUGAUAACAUCCUGGUUGCUUGGAA